CGCGCGCGGGGCCGGAAGCCCGUUGGGGGGCGGACCCGGACCCACCCUCCCUGCGUGCUCGCCGCGCAGACCCUCCCGUCGGUGCGGAGGGCGGCGAGCGCCUGGGACGUGGGCGCGGGGAGCUUCCCCUCCCGCGGCGGUGCGGACGCGCCCAACCCCCGUCGCCCCUUCCCGGGCUCGGGACGUACCGUCGCACGCCCUUGCGCAGGCCCCUGAGGACCCCCGGCGUGCGUGGACCCAGCCAUUCCCCAACAUGACCACUGCGGAAACAUCACACAACCAGGGUGGCUGGCUUCACUUUAAACUUAAGAUGAGUGCAUCACACUUCCUUGCAAUUUGGUGAUUUUCUCAGGUGGGAUUCUUAGGUCAAGACAAAGCACAGUCAACUCCAAAGUAGAAAUCUUGGGACGCCCAGGUGGCUCAGCGGUUUGGCGCCUUCUUUCGACCCAGGGUGUGAUCCUGGAGACCUGGGAUCGAGACCCGCGUUGGGCUCCCUGCAUGGGGCCUGCUUCUCCCUCUGCCUGUGUCUCUGCCUCUUUCUCUGUAUCUCUCAUGAAUCAAUAAAAUCUUUUU